AGCGUUUAAAUUUACCAAUGCUAUUCUUUACUAAUAUCAAGCUACUUAUUUCAUCAUAGGUCCGGCCGGAUUACUAGAUGUAGCUAGGAGUUGUUCUUUAGUUCAUUUAGUUUCUAUAUUGUCUGUGAUUCGCAUUGACUGGCCGGUCACGGGAUUCAUGCGGAUUCAUUCAAUUCAAGAUGGCAGAAAAAACAAGAAUAACUUUUAAAAGACUUCUGUUUGUUAUUAGAUUCCUUUUUGAAUAGUUUGUGUUCCUUAUAAAAGUAUUUUACUUCAAACUUCCUGAGUGUCUUAUUUUCAGCAUCUUCUAUAGUACCAAGCUAACAUUUCAGAAUUGAGAUGAGUAAGUCUACGCCCACCGUCAUAUAAUAUUACGCAAAAACACAUAAUCAAAACCAAAAAAGUCGACUAUUUACUUUGGACGAUCUUGAACGCAGCCACUAAUGUCAAACGUCAAAUGUCACAUGUGACAAGUUAUUUUGAGAAGUUUUUGAGGUUUGUUUUGUUUGUGACUUUGGUUUUGUUUGUUUGGAAUACUUUUAUCCAUUCGUUAUAACGUGAUUGAUGAACAUUGAUAACGCCGAUCAAGCAUCCUGUACUGAUAAUAAUAACGCAAGUACCCCAUCUAAAAAUCGAAAAGUUUUGACGAAGAAAAAAAAAGGACACAGAAGUACACACAACUUUGGGAAAAUGAGUUUUCAUGGCUAAGAAAAGACUCAGAAAGUGAUACAAAUGCAAAAUCCAUAAUCUGUGGCGAAGUUUUCUCUCUAUUCCAUCAGCUGGAGUUGUACACGAUAGGAAUAUUUACAUAUUGUAUGAUGAAUAUGAUGAUGAUAAAGAAAACGAUGAUUUAAAUAUGAAGAUAUAAUUGGAAUAAUCAUAAAAUGAGAAUAUGCAUAUAAAAAUCUACAUAAUGAGAAUGGCUGAGGGUCAGCAUUGAUCUAUUAAAUCAAGAUCGUUAAAACACUUUAAUAUAAUUACAAAGAAAAGGCCGAUUUAAUAUGGAGACACAAGAAUAUAAGACAUAAAAUGAAAGGAUUGGAAUACCUACAUUAUGAGAAUAUGGAAAGAAAAUACUUACAUUUUAUACACAUAAUACAAGAAUGUAUUGGAAAUAUUGGAAUAUUAAGAGAAUGGCUGUCUAAAGCUCUAUUAAAUCAAGAUGGUUAACACACUUUAAUAAAAUUACAAAGAAAAUGUUGAUUUAAUAUGAAGACACAAGAAUAUCAGAAUUAAAAUAUAAUAAUUUGAAUACAUUAUGAGAACAUGGAAAGAAACUUACAUUUUAUAUACAUAUAUUAUGAGAAUGGCUGUCUGAACAGUAUUGUCCUAAUAAAUCAAAAUGUUUAACACACUGUUGUUAUUAUAAUAAAUGAUGAUUUAAAUAUAAAAAUACAAGAAUAUUAUAUAUAAAAUAGAAGAAUUGGAAUAUAUUUUGAUACUAAGAUACCUGCAUUAUAAAUAUAUUAUGAGAAUGGAUGACCGAACAGUAUUGUUCCGAUAAAUGAAGUUGAAUGGUAUGCUGAAGUGCAAGCGGUGCUCACACAAGGAUGUGAUUGGUAUGCCGAAGCACAAGCGGUACUCACUGAAUGAUAAUACACACACUUUAAUAUUGUUAUAAUAAAAGGUGAAUGGUAUGCCGAAGUGCAAGCGGUGCUCACACAGGGUUGUGAAUGGUAUGCCGAAGCACAAGCGGUGCUCACCUAAUGAUAAUUAGUAUAUAGUGGCUGGUAUGCCGAAGUGCAAGCGGUGCUCACACUGGGUUGUGAAUGGUAUGCCGAAGCACAAGCGGUACCCACUAUACUAUUUAUCUGAUAAAGAAUUCUGAGGAACAAUGAACAUACAGUGUAGCCGACCAAAAAUUCACCUAGCAACGUUGCAGCGUAGCAGACCAGCGUCAGACCAGCAUUAAGUACAUCAAUAAGAACAGCCGGAAUAUGGUUUACUAAUUACUUAUAGUCUCUUUGAGUUUUGUUUUAAUUAUGAUUGCUAAGUGCAUUUAAUAUCACCGCAUAGAUAUAAUAACUUUAUUAAUUUUGCUAAUUCAUUCAGUUUGUUAACAUAAAUUUAGAACUUGUUAGUUAGCGUUCGAAUGGCCGACAGGGAAUGGGGACAUUCCCAAUAACAGGACGGCCGACUGUUAGCGUUUAAAUUUACCAAUGCUAUUCUUUACUAAUAUCAAGCUACUUAUUUCAUCAUAGGUCCGGCCGGAUUACUAGAUGUAGCUAGGAGUUGUUCUUUAGUUCAUUUAGUUUCUAUAUUGUCUGUGAUUCGCAUUGACUGGCCGGUCACGGGAUUCAUGCGGAUUCAUUCAAUUCAAGAUGGCAGAAAAAACAAGAAUAACUUUUAAAAGACUUCUGUUUGUUAUUAGAUUCCUUUUUGAAUAGUUUGUGUUCCUUAUAAAAGUAUUUUACUUCAAA